GUCACUGGUUGUCACUUGCUAUUUUUUAUUUUGUCUCCCUUGGAAGUAACUAGUUGGAGAGUUUACUGUCACCUUUCUCCUCUCACGCUUGUAGCUGCUAGUAUGGCUGCUUCGAUAGCGAUGGAUAUUGAGCCUCCAGACGAGUGCUCUGACUGUGAUGUGGAGGAAAGGUCUGCAGAGGAGGAGGAUAUAACUCCUCCGCUUGGGUUGCAGUCUAUCCGUUGUGAAGAUAUCCUGACGUGGGCAGAAGUAUGUAUUGCGGUCGGAGUAGAGGCGUUAUGGAGUUGGACGAUCGGAGCGCGUAUGUCCCGCGUGUGAGCCUUGAUUCCGGCAGGUUUAUACAGUUUCAGGCCAUGCGAUGAGGAUUGGUGAAUCAACUCAACUAACCUGAAGAAUGAUGUGUUCCUCAUGUUCUAUGUGUGUGUGUGUGUGUGUGUGUGUGUGUGUGUGUGUGUGUGUGUGUGUGUGUGUGUGUGUGUGUGUUGUGUGUGUGUGUGUUGUUUGUGUUUGUGUGUGUGUGUGUGUUGUGUGUGUGUGUGUGUGUGUUGUGUGUGUGUGUGUGUGUGUGUGUGUGUGUGUGUGUGUGUGUGUGUGUGUGUGUGUGUGUGUGUGUGUGUGUGUGUGUGUGUGUGUGUGUGUGUGUGUGUGUGUGUGUGUGUGUGUGUGUGUGUGUACAAUAUAAUACUUGACCAUUUCGCAAAUACAUCAGUCUAGUCACACAGCUGGACACCAUGGCAUGACUCAUAUUCACAUGCCACAGACACACUAUAAUAUCAUAGCAGUUGGCCUAGUGAGUUAGAUUGUUGUUUUUACAUAGCUGCUAAGCAGCUAGUGCGGACAUAGUCGCUAAUGCCACCCACGUAUAGAAGAGCGCAUGCUCCAGUGGUUCAGUAGUGUUGUCUUGAGUUGUCGUUGUCCUGUUCUCCUGUUCAUUCCUGUCUGCACUCUUGUCGAAAUACUUAUUCCAUAUUCAAUACUAUAAAACCCCUGUGUUCUGGUGUGAGGGGAGUUCGUUUAGCCGGGAGCUAACACUGGUGGCAGCGGUGGGAUUCGACCCACGCCUCCGGAGAGACUGGAGCCCCUGUGUUCUGGUGUGAGGGGAGUUCGUUUAGCCGAGAGCUAGCACUGGUGGCA